UUGGUUUUUCUAUUUUUACAUUAACAUUCUGUGUUGUGGUCCCUCCUUUUGAGUUUCUUGGUUAGGUUAAACUACCAUAAGGUGUUAACUGCACAGCUCUCAGGAGACCCUGGAGCAGCCGUGGCAGUCCACCAAGUGUCUGGCUUUGGUCUUUCUAUUUUUAUAUUAACAUUCUUUGUUGUGUUCCUUCCUUCUGAGUUUCUUGGUUAGGGUUAGGGGGGGUUAGGGAGAGGAAAAGUGUUCCGGUCCCUGAAGGGACGCGGAGGUGCACGGUCCUUCCCUUGGGCCCUCCCGCUACUCCACUGCCUGUUACGGCCACCAGGGACUAGGCGCCGUCCCCGGUACCGUACAGGGAUCCAAUCCUGGUCAUCCUCCAGUGAGGAGAGGUUGGAGGACGGAUGACCACAACUGGAUCCGAAGAUGCGCUUAUCCCCAUGUACUGAGUUGAUUACAAUCACAGAACAGGAAAGCAGCAUCCCCUGGGCAUUCAUGCUUAUACUCCCCGAACCUUGGAACCUUAAGCGUGGAUGUUUGCAGUUUGGAGUGGCUUGUGUGUGGGAUGCCUCAAGCAGAGCAAACGAGUGAGAAGAAUCAGUUUCUCUUCCCCGAAUCUUUCCCGUGGACCACUGGAA